rnacentral:rRNA from 1 species
ACGGGUGCGUAACGCGUGGGAAUCUGCCCUUGGGUUCGGAAUAACAGUUAGAGAUGACUGCUAAUACCGGAUGAUGUCUUCGGACCAAAGAUUUAUCGCCCAAGGAUGAGCCCGCGUAAGAUUAGCUAGUUGGUGGGGUAAUGGCCCACCAAGGCGACGAUCUUUAGCUGGUCUGAGAGGAUGAUCAGCCACACUGGGACUGAGACACGGCCCAGACUCCUACGGGAGGCAGCAGUGGGGAAUAUUGGACAAUGGGCGAAAGCCUGAUCCAGCAAUGCCGCGUGAGUGAUGAAGGCCUUAGGGUUGUAAAGCUCUUUUACCAGGGAUGAUAAUGACAGUACCUGGAGAAUAAGCUCCGGCUAACUCCGUGCCAGCAGCCGCGGUAAUACGGAGGGAGCUAGCGUUGUUCGGAAUUACUGGGCGUAAAGCGUACGUAGGCGGUUACUCAAGUCAGAGGUGAAAGCCCGGGGCUCAACCCCGGGACUGCCUUUGAAACUAGGUAGCUAGAGUCUUGGAGAGGUUAGUGGAAUUCCGAGUGUAGAGGUGAAAUUCGUAGA